AAUUUUUUUGCUGCCAACGAAAAGUUCGUACUCAAGGAAUUAUUAAUUUUAUUUGUUUUAUAGUAAAAAAAUCAGUUAUUUAAUAUAAAAAAGUGAAUAUUGAUCAAGAGGCUUUAUCUAAUAUAUAAAUAUUCGAAUCAGGUACAAAAUUGUUGGCAGGAAGACAAGAAAACUGAUUUCUCUGAUAGCGUCACUCCCAACACGUCACGUUUUUGAAGGUUAGGAAAUAAAAGUUCAUGGCAAGCAGGUUCAAGGUCAUUCAAGGAACAUUUUCUGAGAGUUGAUUAGUGUAUGAGCUAUAUAUACAUAUAUACACAUUAAGAUCAAUGAGAACCUCUGUUUUUAUAUAAAACAAAAGAAAGGAUUAAUAUUCUGGCGUAUGGAUGGACAGACUGUCAGGGACUUCGAUAUAGACGGAGGCGCCAUCUUAGUCUGCAUUCCAUUGUUUUAGAUGAUUCAUAUACGUUGUGCCUGGGCGCAGCGCGACUUCUUGAGCGAGCGAGCCCUGGGCCGAAUUCCGGCUGAAAAGAGAGAAGGCUAUCUGGGUGGCCCGUCUCUUGUUUAUACUCGUGUCCAGCUUCUCCACCUCGACCACCACUAACAUAAUGAAAAAGAAAAGGAAAGGAGAAAAAAUGUACACCCUGCUUUUAUCAAGAUAAUUGAAAUGAGCUAUUGGACACAUUGGAGCUGUGGACCUGUUCUCUACGUAGGAAAAAAAUUUUCCAAGUAA